UAGAAGGGCAGGAAGUCGUCCACCUCGAGGCGCAGGAACGGGCCCAGUAGGGCCCGCAGCUUCCAGACUGCGGCACGGCUCAGCAGGGGCGGCACCAAGCCCUCGAAGGGCGCGGGGUCCACCACGUACACCUGGAAGAAGGACUGCUCUGCUGGGGUCCCUGGCCUCUGUAUAAGGGACCGGUCCUGGCAGACUCUGGACCCUGGGCUAGGAGCCAGGAAGAGGGCCAGAAGCACCAGUGCACCAGCAUCUCUCUGCCUGGCAGGACCAUAAAAUGCACAUGUGAGCAUCUGGAGACAAAGGCUGCAGUAAAUCCUCCCAGGGUCCCGUGGAUUCUAGGAGCCCACAAUAAAAGUUGAAAGAAUUCAGCACUAGGGAGUUGGGCGGUAGUGCAGCAGGUUAAGCACAGGUGGUGCAAAGCACAAGGACUGGCAUAAGGAUCCUGGUUGGAGCCCCUGGCUCCCCACCUGCAGGGGAGUUGCUUCACAGGCGGUGAAGCAGGUCUACAGGUGUCUGUU